GAAAAUUAUACGAAUUCCAGGAUUAGAAAUAUAAAAAUUAAAAGAAUAAACCCCAAAAGGCCACAGACCCAGGGCUAAGCCCUGCAGCCAAGACUAGCAGGCCAUAAAGAUAAAGGAGCACAGGAAACACUGUUCAGGCAGGACUGACAAGCCAUAAAGAAAAGGAAUGCAGGAACCAGCCUGAGUUAAUGGGACUGAUUCAUGGGACGUCUGGCAGGAAGACAUCUCCCCCCAGCUCACUCAGGGCCAUCCUCCAGACCCUGAUAAGCCCCUGACUUCUAACACGUACUCUUUCUGCUUUGUUCUCACUGCUAUGUUUAAAUGAGCCAAUUGUAUGUAACCACGCCAAAACCCCCUAGCCUUCUCUAUAUAACCCUCUGACUUUUGAGUUUCGGGGCCGACACCUCUGUCUCCUGCGCGGGAUACGUGUCGGCCCGGAGAUCUCUAUAAUAGGUCUCCGUAAUAAACCUCGCCUUUGCUUAUUACAUCCAAAAUGGUCUCUCUGUGUCUGGGGUCCGCGAUUUCCCAAGACUUGAGUAAAGGUCUCUCUGCGUGGGAUCUUUCAUAAUAAUGGGGGCUCGUCCGGGAUCUUCGCGACCACCCCAGACUCCGAAGACCCCUUGGAGGCUAAAAGACCUACAGGUGAUACAGAAAGAAAUCUGCUCACAGCUGACAGCAGCCUAUGCCCUGGAGACCCCUGAGACAUCCCAUCAGUUCCAGGUCGGAAGCAGCUACACUGAGCCCAGACACUCGAGCCUCGCUGGAAAGGACCGUACCUGGUGCUGCUGACCACCCUGACAGCCGUCAAUUCUCAGCCCUCACCAGCCGUGUACUAGCUGUUAGGGCUGAGAGCUGGGACCUAGAGGGAAAUUCAGUCAUGUUUGUCCUGGGUUCCAUCGAGAUAGGUGUGGAGAUAGGCUUGAUUUCUAUUACAAAUGAUGUAACAUUACAUAUGUUAAUACUCCUAACACUUCUUGGGACUGUGCCUCAGGGAUCACUACCUAUAUAAGUUUAGAAGUUCUGAAAGACAGUCAUGACCUUGGUGUAUAGGUUUAGAUAGUGUCCAGAUAGAAUCCUGAUGCCAAAGACUUUUUAGCUGACCUCCAAGAAUACCUAACCUCCCUCUCAGAGGUAGUCCUUCAAAAUAAGAAAAGAUUAGACCUGAUAUUCCUUAAAGAAGGAGCCUGUGUGCUACACUGAAAAAAUGUUGCUUAUUCAAGAGUAAUUAAGGACUCCAUAAAUAAACUUAAAAAAGGGUUAGACAAAGACAGACAGAAAAACACAUAAGAGAUGGUUUGAGAGCUAGUUUAGUAGAUCUCCCUGGAUGACUACCCUACUCUCUGCUACAGCUGGGCCAUUAUUAAUAAUUUUCUUGGUUUUAGUUUUUGGCUCCUGAGUGACAAACAGGUUAAUUGCUUUUGUUAAAAACUGAGUGGGUGCUGUGCGGUUGAUGGUUGUGAGACAACAGUACCAGUCAGUUAAGACAACUGGUGAGACCAAAUAAGACUUGAUAUCAAAAUUCUAAGAUUAGAAUUAUUUAAUAGGAGAAGACGGGAAUGAAAAGAAAAUUAUACGAAUUCCAGGAUUAGAAAUAUAAAAAUUAAAAGAAUAAACCCCAAAAGGCCACAGACCCAGGGCUAAGCCCUGCAGCCAAGACUAGCAGGCCAUAAAGAUAAAGGAGCACAGGAAACACUGUUCAGGCAGGACUGACAAGCCAUAAAGAAAAGGAAUGCAGGAACCAGCCUGAGUUAAUGGGACUGAUUCAUGGGACGUCUGGCAGGAAGACAUCUCCCCCCAGCUCACUCAGGGCCAUCCUCCAGACCCUGAUAAGCCCCUGACUUCUAACACGUACUCUUUCUGCUUUGUUCUCACUGCUAUGUUUAAAUGAGCCAAUUGUAUGUAACCACGCCAAAACCCCCUAGCCUUCUCUAUAUAACCCUCUGACUUUUGAGUUUCGGGGCCGACACCUCUGUCUCCUGCGCGGGAUACGUGUCGGCCCGGAGAUCUCUAUAAUAGGUCUCCGUAAUAAACCUCGCCUUUGCUUAUUACAUCCAAAA